rnacentral:rRNA from 1 species
UUCCGCCCCUUAGUGCUGCAGCUAACGCAUUAAGCACUCCGCCUGGGGAGUACGACCGCAAGGUUGAAACUCAAAGGAAUUGACGGGGGCCCGCACAAGCGGUGGAGCAUGUGGUUUAAUUCGAAGCAACGCGAAGAACCUUACCAGGUCUUGACAUCCUUUGAAGCUUUUAGAGAUAGAAGUGUUCUCUUCGGAGACAAAGUGACAGGUGGUGCAUGGUCGUCGUCAGCUCGUGUCGUGAGAUGUUGGGUUAAGUCCCGCAACGAGCGCAACCCUUAUUGUUAGUUGCCAGCAUUCAGUUGGGCACUCUAGCGAGACUGCCGGUGACAAACCGGAGGAAGGCGGGGACGACGUCAGAUCAUCAUGCCCCUUAUGACCUGGGCUACACACGUGCUACAAUGGCGUAUACAACGAGUUGCCAACCUGCGAAGGUGAGCUAAUCUCUUAAAGUACGUCUCAGUUCGGACUGCAGUCUGCAACUCGACUGCACGAAGUCGGAAUCGCUAGUAAUCGCGGAUCAGCACGCCGCGGUGAAUACGUUCCCGGGCCUUGUACACACCGCCCGUCACACCAUGGGAGUUUGUAAUGCCCAAAGCCGGUGGCCUAACCUUCGGGAGGGAGCCGUCUAAGGCAGGACAGAUGACUGGGGUGAAGUCGUAACAAGGUAGCCGUAGGAGAACCUGCGGCUG